rnacentral:tmRNA from 1 species
CUAUAUUCAAAGGUGCCGGCUUCGGCCGGCUAUGGUGAUAAACGGCCUUCGUAAUAAGCCAUUCGGACCCGGGGGCAGUACCCGGCGCCUCCACCAGAACCCAUCCGUGCGGUGGGCUGUGGCGGGGGCGAAACAGGAUCGACGAGGGUGUAAAAGUUGCGCUUUUGCCCGGCAUUGUACCGCCGUUACAGGGCUAACUUAUAGUUGCCAACGACAACUAUGCUCCGGUGGCCGUCGCUGCGUAAUGCAGUGCCGGUAUCGGUAUUAAAGUCCUGAUUGGCUAGCACCUUUUAGGCGGGGUUCGGAGGCACCUGGCAACAGAAGCCUCCACUUUCG